GUGGGCCAGGGUGGCAGGUGGGAGCAAGCCGGCUAGCAUUCCCGGGAAAAGGCUUAUGUCUCACCAUCACCCUGAUCCCACUAG
rnacentral:miRNA from 1 species